rnacentral:rRNA from 1 species
ACAGCAGCCGCCGCGGUAAAACGUAGGGUGCAAGCGUUAAUCGGAAUUACUGGGCGUAAAGCGUGCGCAGGCGGUUAUAUAAGACAGAUGUGAAAUCCCCGGGCUCAACCUGGGAACUGCAUUUGUGACUGUAUAGCUAGAGUACGGCAGAGGGGGAUGGAAUUCCGCGUGUAGCAGUGAAAUGCGUAGAUAUGCGGAGGAACACCGAUGGCGAAGGCAAUCCCCUGGGCCUGUACUGACGCUCAUGCACGAAAGCGUGGGGAGCAAACAGGAUUAGAUACCCCCGUAGUCCCUGUCUCUUAUAC